GUCAUGAUGUAACGUAAGGUUGAAAGAUAGACGAUAUUAACGUUAAGAUUUUCAUAAUAAUUAAUGAACUGGUCGGCGAAAUUUGGUCUACGCGAAGACGUAAUUUCAACGUAUUUAAUAUUUCACUUAAAACGUCAUAAAUAUGAAACUACGGACUGCGUGCUGUUAAUAAGAUGCGUUUAAGACAUAAUAAUGCGGACAGGUUCAAACAUUACUUGUAAACACGUAAACAACUCCGCUCACAUCUGUAACGCGCAUGCGCGAGUUCUUAGACGCCUGCAGAGCUCCGAGCGGACGCAGCACGAAGCGAAGUUACGGCAGCAGAGCGACAUGAACGGGCUGAUAGAACCACGACUACCGGCUCCACUACUCUGUUUCUGCGGGUGGUGGUUGCAUCUGAUGGAGGUCACGUCUGAUGAUGGUUGUCCCUGCACUGGUCCUGCCUUACCCCUGGCUUAAUAAUCCACAAUAUUAGAAUCAUUUAUGUUGUAGGAAUCGGAUGUACUGUACAUCUUUUAAGUUGUUCACACCUUCUUCCCUACUGUUUUCCCCUCAGGUUUCUCCAGGUUGAAGGUUUUUUACAUUUUG
ensembl:lncRNA